rnacentral:rRNA from 1 species
AGUGAACGCUGGCGGCAGGCCUAACACAUGCAAGUCGAACGGCAGCACAAGAGAGCUUGCUCUCUGGGUGGCGAGUGGCGGACGGGUGAGGAAUGCAUCGGAAUCUGCCCAUUUGUGGGGGAUAACCUCGGGAAACCGGGACUAAUACCGCAUACGACCUACGGGUGAAAGCAGGGGAUCUUCGGACCUUGCGCAGAUGGAUGAGCCGAUGCCGGAUUAGCUAGUUGGAGGGGUAAAGGCCCACCAAGGCGACGAUCCGUAGCUGGUCUGAGAGGAUGAUCAGCCACACUGGGACUGAGACACGGCCCAGACUCCUACGGGAGGCAGCAGUGGGGAAUAUUGGACAAUGGGCGCAAGCCUGAUCCAGCCAUGCCGCGUGUGUGAAGAAGGCCCUCGGGUUGUAAAGCACUUUUGUUGGGAAAGAAAAGCAGCCGGUUAAUACCCGGUUGUCAUGACGGUACCCAAAGAAUAAGCACCGGCUAACUUCGUG